UGAGUACGAGCUGCUACGGCAGCGAAGUGGGUGAUGUCAAGCUUCCAAGAAAAGCCCUAUACCCGUUAAGGCAUGAUGGCCUGUACCCGAAACCGACACAGGUGGGGUGGUAGAGAAUACCGAGGGGCGCGAGAUAACUCUCUCUAAGGAACUCGGCAAAAUGGCCCCGUAACUUCGGGAGAAGGGGUGCCACCGCAAGGUGGUCGCAGUGAAGAGGCCCAGGCGACUGUUUACCAAAAACACAGGUCUCCGCUAAGUCGCAAGACGAUGUAUGGGGGCUGACGCCUGCCCAGUGCCGGAAGGUUAAGGAAGCUGGUCAGCGUAAGCGAAGCUGGCGACUGAAGCCCCGGUGAACGGCGGCCGUAACUAUAACGGUCCUAAGGUAGCGAAAUUCCUUGUCGGGUAAGUUCCGACCCGCACGAAAGGCGUAACGAUCUGGGCGCUGUCUCGGAGAGAGGCUCGGCGAAAUAGAAUUGUCUGUGAAGAUGCGGACUACGUGCACCCGGACAGAAAGACCCUAUGAAGCUUUACUGUAGCUUGGUAUUGUGCCCGGGCUCUGAAUGCGCAGGAUAGGUGGGAGGCUUUGAUCCAUUGCUUGUGGGUGAUGGUGAGCCAACGGUGAGAUACCACUCUUUCAGACCUAGGGUUCUAACGGUCACCCGUCAUCCGGGGACCGGACAGUAUCAGGUGGGCGGUUUGACUGGGGCGGUCGCCUCCUAAAAGGUAACGGAGGCGCGCAAAGGUUCCCUCAGGCUGGUUGGAAAUCAGCCGACGAGUGUAAAGGCAGAAGGGAGCUUGACUGUGAGACCUACAAGUCGAACAGGGACGAAAGUCGGCCUUAGUGAUCCGACGGUUCUGAGUGGAAGGGCCGUCGCUCAACGGAUAAAAGUUACUCUAAGGAUAACAGGCUGAUCUCCCCCAAGAGUUCACAUCGACGGGGAGGUUUGGCACCUCGAUGUCGGCUCAUCGCAACCUGGGGCUGAAGUCGGUCCCAAGGGUUGGGCUGUUCGCCCAUUAAAGCGGUACGCGAGCUGGGUUCAGAACGUCGUGAGACAGUUCGGUCCAUAUCCGGUGCAUGCGCAGGAAUAUUGAGAGGAUUUCUCCCUAGUACGAGAGGACCGGGAGGAACGCACCUCUGGUGUGCCAGUUAUCGUGCCAACGGUAAACGCUGGGUAGCCAUGUGCGGAGAGGAUAACCGCUGAAAGCAUCUAAGUGGGAAGCCCACCUCAAGAUGAGUAUUCCCAUGGCGUUAGCCAGUAAGGUCACGGGAAGAACACCCGUUGAUAGGCUCUACGUGGAAGCCGGGUAACCGGUGAAGCGGAGGAGUACUAAUAGACCGAGGGCUU
rnacentral:rRNA from 1 species